AGUUUAUGCCCAAGUAUAUAAUAUAUAAUAUUCAAGAUUGAGACUUUUAAAAGGGAGUUUAUGUCCAAGUAUAAUAUAUAAUAUUCAAGAUUAGAACUUUAGUCCCAAUCUUGAAUAUUAUAUAUUAUACUUGGGCAUAAACUCC